rnacentral:tRNA from 1 species
GCGCUUGUGGUGAAAUUGGUUGAAACACACUGGAUUUAGAUUCCAGCACGGAUUAAUGAUCACAUUGUCAGUUCGACUCUGACCAGGCGCACCA